GUGAAUCAUCAAAUCUUUGAACGCAAAUUGCACUCUCUUCUGAGAGUAUGCCUGUUUGAGGGUCAGUAUUAAUAAAAAUCGGUGUGUUCCUUCUUUGUGACGCUCCGGUGUUUGGGUCAUCUUAAUAUCCUUUAGGGUUUAAGUGGAUUAAAAUUUUCUUUUUUUGCGCAUUUUAGCGAUACAUAAAUUCUUUUUUUUAUUCUUCCUUUUGAUUUCCAAUAUCUUAUUAGAUGCAAUCAUAUCGUG
rnacentral:misc_RNA from 1 species